CCCCAGAUGCCCUGCUGAGCAGGUGACUGUGGUCCCCGUGCCAUGCUUGUCUGUGCCUAGUGGCGGUGCCUCGUGGACAGACAGGGACGGGCAGGGGCCACACACCUGCCAAGUGGCAGCUCACCAUCGUGUCCUUCUCCCUGUGCCUCACAGGAAAGCAUCCCCAGGCAGGGCCAGCCAGGGGCACAGGUGAGACAGCAGGAGGACAUGAGGACAGCAAGUGCGUGGCAUUGGAGAACACUGGAAUUGAGCCACCAGGGGGACUUGGAGUUCUCGGUGUGACCAUGAGGAGCGGUGUGUGUAAAUGCCCAGCAGGUGUCCUGAACAGAGACUUACCGUUCCAAGCUGGUGCCCUGCCUGAGCCACUGUUGCCCCACUGGUUCCCUGUCCUGUCGGAGCUGCCCUGGAAGCAGACGCCUGCGUCUGCAUCCAGAGCAGCUCCCGGCACUGUCCUCUUCUAGAAUCUUCCGGCCCACUGUGCACUUAGCAGCAGUCAGAGGGUCUCGUGGAUCUGGGGCGCCAGCUGUGUGCUUCCCGCUUCCGCAAACCUCUCCACUGCCCUCGCUGAGCUCUGCCCAUGCCAACUGUGCCCUGGCAGUGGGAGACCACCAGAAUGGUCUUCCCUGGUGAGUGCCACUCCCCUGGGUCAGCUUCUCCAGAGACGGACCCAGCGGCUGAGCAAACGUGUGGACAUGUGCUCUGAGGAGCUGGUGCUCCCGGUGACAGAGGCUGGCCAACCUAGAGCCUGCGGGGCCGGCUGCAGGCGGGAGACCAGGGAGGCCGACGAGCAGCUUGUGUCCAGAAGCUGCCCCCUGGCAGGAUUCCCUCCUGCUCAGGGGUCCCCAGGCUCCUCUUGGGUUCUUCUCAGGCCUUCGACUGAUUGGGUGAAGCCCACCCAUACCGUGGAGGACAAGAGGCACCAAUUUAAAUGCUGAUCUCAUCCAAAAACACCCUCACAGAAAACUCCAGAAUAAUGUCUGAUUGACUUAUUACCUCAGCACCAUGGCUCAGCCAAGUUGUCACAAAAAAUUAGCAGCACGCUCCUCAACAGGCAUCUUUUACUUAUAGUCCCAGGACUUCACGCUCUUUCCAUGGCCUGCAGUGUGAUUUCAAAGCCCUGGGGUCUGAUAAUUGCCCGCGUUCCCACCUGGCUCCACAGUCUCCCCUGCUCACGUGUGAGGGCAUCCCGGCCUUCCCUGACUCCUGGACACGUGCGGUCUCUGCACACCUAGCCUGCGCACCUGCCACAGCCGUGAGUGGCUCCCUUCCCUGAUGCUGCUGCAGGCUGCUCUGGAAGCCUCACAGCACCUAAAGGACCUAAAGCUCGCGGCUCCGACCGACACCUCCUGCACUCACAGCCUCUCGUCUGCGGCGUCCGCCCGUCCUGCAGGCUGCUGUGGCCCAGGGCUCCGCGCAGCAGAUGUCCUUGUUGCCGCAGGACAUUGCUAGUCCGGAUUUCCUGGGUCACUGCCCUUCCUUCCGAUGUUCUACACCUGUUACUGUUUGCCUCUGGACGUCCCGGGCCCAGCAGGCAGGGAAGGCCUGGCCCCUCUGCGGGUGCUCAGAGAUGGGGCUCUGGGGGGUGACUGGGUAGCGAGGCUCAGGCUCACAGCAGGUGGAUGUUGGGAGGUGGUGUGGACCGGAGGAGGCGGCCCUGCUUGAAGGAGGGUCCCUGGGGGUGUGCCCUGGGGCCUGCAUCCCCCCCCUCCCUCUCGGCUUCCUGGCCGCCCUGAGCUGCCGCUCUGCCUCCCCUCAGCACCAAAGCCCUGGGGUCACUGGCCAGGGACUGAAACCGAGUACCCUUUCCAGCUCUAGGUUGUCUUCCUCAGGUCCCAGCACGGAGAGCCAGCCACAUGCCCUCUCCAUGGUCACAGUCCCCUCUCAGCCCACCUUCGGAAGCUCUAGGAAGGGAUUUUUAGUGGGAAACUUCUCGAUAUCUCUAGGCUUUAUUUGUCUAAAAACUGUAUUUAUCUAAACUUUAAAACAAUGUCUGCAUCGAGGGCUGAGGUGCAGUUCAGUGGCUGAGUGCUUGCCUCGCAUGCUCAAGGUCCUGGGUUCAACCCCCAGCACGAAUAAAAACAAGUUGGAAUUAACAAUUAAGCCAGGCUGAUUCACAUGUCACCUCACACGCUUGUGUGUGUGUGUCGUGAACACUUAAAACCUACUCUCGGUAACUUUGAACCAUGUUAUAUCAACUGCAGUUGCCAAUCUGUGCAAUAGUUCUCAGGGGCUCAUUCUUCCUGUCUCAUGAAAACUGUGCCCCUCGCUGAUCAACACCCCAGCUCCCAGGAAUCAGGAGUCCACUCUGCUUCUGAGCUCAGUGUUUCCAGACCCGCGGAUGCGGCUCGGCUUGUUUCACCUGCUCCCUGUCCUCCAGGUGCGUCCACAUUGUCACAAAGGAUAGGAUUUCCUUCCCUUUUUUUUGUACUGGGGACUGAACUCAGGGGCACUCCAUCACUGAUCCACAUCCCAGCCCUAUUUUGUAUUUAGAGACAGGGUCUCACUGAGUUGUUUUAGCACCUCGCCAUUACUGGGACUGGCUUUGAACUCGCCAUCCUCCUGCCUCCCCAGCGGCUGGGGUUACAGGUGUGCACCACGCGCCUGUCAGUUUUCUUCCUUUUUAAAGAAAGUUCUGAAACAUU